rnacentral:rRNA from 1 species
UACGAAGGGGGCUAGCGUUGUUCGGAAUUACUGGGCGUAAAGGGCUCGUAGGCGGCCAACUAAGUCAUACGUGAAAUCCCUCGGCUUAACCGGGGAACUGCGUCUGAUACUGGAUGGCUUGAGAUUGGGAGAGGGAUGCGGAAUUCCAGGUGUAGCGGUGAAAUGCGUAGAUAUCUGGAGGAACACCGGUGGCGAAGGCGGCAUCCUGGACCAACACUGACGCUGAGGAGCGAAAGCCAGGGGAGCAAACGGG